GCCGGGCGUGGUGGCUCACACCUGUAAUCCCCGCUACUCAGGAGGCUGAGGCAGGCGGAUCUCCUGUGGUCAGGAGUUCGAGGCCAGCCUGGCCAACAUGGUGAAACCCUGUCUCUA
rnacentral:sRNA from 1 species